UACGGGGGGGGUAAGCGUUGUUCGGAAUUACUGGGCGUAAAGGGCUCGUAGGCGGCCAACUAAGUCAUACGUGAAAUCCCUCAGCUUAACUGGGGAACUGCGUGUGAUACUGGAUGGCUUGGAUUUGGGAGAGGGAUGCGGAAUUCCAGGUGUAGCGGUGAAAUGCGUAGAUAUCGGGAGGAAUACCAGUGGCGAAGGCGGCUUCUUGGCCUGUUCUUGACGCUGAGGCGCGAAAGCUGGGGGAGCAAACAGG
rnacentral:rRNA from 1 species